rnacentral:rRNA from 1 species
UACGUAGGGGGCAAGCGUUAUCCGGAUUUACUGGGUGUAAAGGGAGCGUAGGCGGCAAGGUAAGCCAGAAGUGAAAGCCCGCGGCUCAACUGCGGGACUGCUUUUGGAACUAUCUAGCUAGAUUGCAGGAGAGGUAAGUGGAAUUCCUAGUGUAGCGGUGAAAUGCGUAGAUAUUAGGAGGAACACCAGUGGCGAAGGCGGCUUACUGGACUGUAAAUGACGCUGAGGCUCGAAAGCGUGGGGAGCAAACA